UAAGAGCAAGAGAUGACCAUAUUUCACAAUUGGAAUCAAGUCAAUGUGAGAUGAAGAAUAAAAUGUCUGAGAUGAUGAAUCUUAUUAAUACUAUUGCAAAAAGUGUAAACAUUCAGGGGUUUACUCAACCAAGUGAAGCGGAGUCACACAUGCCUUCUCCUAUGAGUGUUAAUAAUCUGAAGUUCACUCCUGAAAACAAUGCUUGCAAUUUACUUGAUUGGAAUGGAAGUGG